rnacentral:RNase_P_RNA from 1 species
GCAAGGGGAGAGGAAAGUCCGAGCAACGCAGAGCACCGUACAAGUUAACGGCUUGAUAUCCGAGAGGGUAUAGCAGCGUAACAGAAAACGACCGCCCGUCAUGGGUAAGGGUGAAAAGGCGGGGUAAGAGCCCACCGCGAGGGCAGUGAUGUCGCUCGGCAGUACGUCUUACGGGUUGCAAGGUUAUGUAUAUCGGCAAUUAAGGGUUGCUCGCCCGAUGUCGAGGGGUAAACCGCUUGAAGUCGCAGGCGACUGCGAUUGUAGAUAAAUGAUGGACUAAAACAGAACUCGGCUUACGGA